CUACUAAGGGCACGUGGAGAAUGCCCUCGGUGCCAGCAGGCGAUGGUAAGGACGGCAGCCGCGAUAAGCCCCGUUGGCCGCAGCAGGCGCGUUGACCUGGGAUUUCAAUGGACAACCCACGGUAAUGCGGAAUCAACGGCGUGAUGGAAUUCGCCAGUCCGCCGGAAGGAGACGGGCGAAGUAAGCCAUCUCAGUAACCCCAGAAAGAAAAACGAGAGAGUGAUUCCGUCAGUAGUGGCGGAGCGAAAGUGAACAGCCCAAAGGAACGUCUUUCACAGGACCCUUGUGAUACAGCUGCAGAGCUUAACCGUUAUCUGGUUAAUGACCGUGACAGCUGGUGGAGCAAAGGUGGCGUCAGAGGGUAACCUAAGUAAUGCGGCACGUGAAACACGGUAUGAAUCUGUCCGACCACCGGAUAAUAAUAAAUACCGCUGGCAAAACCGAUAGUGAACACAUCGUGAGGAAAAGAAUAGGGGAGCAGACCCUGAAAACGUUCACAAGGUGUAAGUUCACUUCGCGGGACGAGGCUUGCUCUUGCAUAACAGUCUAUGCAGCUAUCGUUCGUGGUAAUGGGUUACUUUUGUGGCGGAGGUGCAAAACUUAUGAAAUAUGCGCGACAAGUGAGCGAUAGACCUGAAGCGAGGAUCGCACGAAGUGGCUAGGUUGAAGCUGCGGGUAACACGGUGAAGGACCAACCAGUGGAUGUUGGGAAAAAAUCUUUGGAUGAGCAGAGGGAGCGAAAAGACUAAAACAAACCCUGUGAUAGCUGGUUCUCCGGAAAAUAGCUUGAGGGCUGUCGGGCCAGUACACCGUGAGGUAGAGCACUGAAUGGCUUAGGUCCCUACCAGGAUACCACAAACCAAUCAAACCUGAAAUUAAUAUUCCCCAUUACCCGGCAGCCGGACUGGGUGGGAUAAGUUUCAUCGUCGAAAGGGAAGAGCCCAAACCGCUUCGGUUAAGGUGCCCAAAAUGCCGUUAAGUGGAAAGGAUGACGUUACUUAGACAGUGAGGAUGUUACUUAGAGCCACCAUUUAAACAGUGCGCGGGCCAGCUGAUCAUCGGAGAUGUUGCGCCGAAAUGAUUAUGACUGCAAACGGGUACAACAGUUCGGUGGAUGCCGGCGACCCCGGUCGUCCGGCGUGGAGCGGGUCACCGCGGCGAAGCUGGAGGGAAACCGAAAGUGGAGUGUUGAUCAGCAGCAUGCAGACACGAGUAGCGAUAAACCAGAUGAGAAUUUACCGCCGUAAACCCAGUUUCGGCCAGACCGUCCAGGGUUAGCCGGGAGCCAGACGAGGCUGCCGAUGGGCGAAGCCGAUGCGGUCAGACGGUUAAUAUUCCGUCACCGAUCGCUAAGGCGGGUGACGCGGAAAAGUGAUUAUCUGACUGGAAUUGGGAGCUCAGUUUCGGGCGAAGUAUCACCGACCGUGACUGCCGGCAGCCUGCUGUUUGACCGCCCUACCAAAAACCGACACAGGUGUGGGUAAUGCACCCAGGCGCGAGAACCCCUAAGGAACCGGUGUUACCCCGUUGGGAGAGCGUUUUGAGCAACUGGCAGCAAUGCGGGUCGUUUGAGGCCUCAGAAAAUUGCGCCUGGCGACUGUUUAUCAAAACACAGCACCGCCAAGUCGAAGAUGACGUUGGGGUGUGAGAUGACCAAUGAAGACGGUGUUCGAGCCGUAAGGCGAAGCCUGGUGCCCAAGUCCCCGUGAAUGUCGGCCGUAAUCAUAACGGUCCUAAAUGAAAUUCCUUGUCGGUAAGUUCCGACCUGCACGAAUCGUAACGAAUGAGCGACUGUCUCGGAGAGGUUUUGGCGAAACUGUAACGGCGGUGAAGAUGCCGCCCGCCCGCAGGACGGAGCAUUCCUAUGCACCUUUACUGUGUUGGUAUUGUGUUCUGGCCGCGGAUGUAGCGUGGUGGGAGACUUCAAGGGCUUCACUCGUCGAGUCGUACCCCCGAUUAGAAUUCUAACCCCGAUUCCCGUGAAGCCAGGCGGCUGUGCGCCUGCGGGCCAGUUUGAUCAGCGGUUUCAAAGAGUAACGGAGGAGUGAAGCUGGCUCAGCAUCAUUACAAACUGCAAGCGUUGAGGAUAUGGCUAGAAGCCGUUAACUGCGAGACCAACAAGUCGAGCAGGUGCGAAAGUACCAAGUGACCACGGUUGAAUGUGGAAAUUGCCAUCGCCCGACAAAGUACGCUAGGGAUAACAGGCCGAUCGCCGUUAUUCAUAUCGACGUGGCGGGUUUGGCACCCUUGGAUGUCGGCUCAUCGCAUCCUGGGCUGGAGAAGGUCCUGGCCUGCCGGUUAAAGGCAUGCGAGCUGGGUUCAGAACGUCGUGAGACAGUUCGGCCUUAUCCACGGGCGUGGAGACCCGAGGGUUCAUUCCCCAGCAUGAGAGGACCGGUGACGCACCUGGUGGCAGUUUGUCUCCAAUAGCAGCGCCAGCCAUGUGCGGAAGCACAAGCGCUGAAAGCAUCUAAGCAAGCUCCUCCCAAGAUUGGUCUCUUCCGCGCAAGCGGACUAAAGACCCCAGGGUAGACCACCUGUUGAUAGGCCAGACGUGUAAGCGAACGUUCAGCGGACUGGGUACCAAUAGGUCGUGCGGCUUGAUCCAAU
rnacentral:rRNA from 1 species